UCUCCCAAGAGACAUAAGAUAGUCAAGUCAAUUAAUUUAACAAAUAAUUAUAAACAUAUUAUAUGCCAGGUACUCUGUUACAGCAACUGAAUAAAUCAAACACUGUCCUUGCCUUCACAGAGCUUAUAGAUUAGCAAGAAAGAGGUUCAACAAGUGAGAGGGAUGUGGACGAGGGGAGAAUACUGGGUGCCAUGGAGGAAGCAAAAAUAAAACAAGAGAACUGACCUAGUCUAGGGAGUCCAACAAUAGAGACCUCACUUUGGAUGAAAUUUUCUGGAACAAAUGAAGCUGAGUACUUGCUGAAGGCUAAGUCUCUGAAAGAAAGUAAAGAGGCAGAGAAAGAGGUAAUGAUCUUGAAGAUGAAUUUCAGCUGCCUAAUCCAUAUGUACCUUGAGUAGCACAAACUAUUCUAGAAAUGAACAGUAUUUUAAUUUAGCCUUACUUUAAUAAGGUUAAAAAACAAAGACUAUGUUAAAUUUCAGCACCAAAACACGGACUAUUUACAUUUCUUUAUAUUUUUUAGUUCCUUAGCUGAUUUCCUAUAAACCUCUUUAAUUUUUUCUAUAUUAAGAAAUAUAGAUUCACUUCGCAGUGAAGAUGGCAUCGGGCAGUGGGACAAAAAACUUGGACUUUCGCCAAAAGUGGGACAAAGAUGAAUAUGAGAAGCUCACCAAGAAGAGGCUCACGAAAGAGAGAGAAAAGAAGGAUGGAAAACCAGUGCAGCCAGUCACGCGAGAGCUUCUCCGGCAUCGGGACUCCGAGGUGGACCUGGAAUCCAAACUUAGGAAGACAAUCGUCAUUACCAAGACCACCCCACAGUCUGAGAUGGGAGGAUACUAUUGCAAUGUCUGUGACUGUGUGGUGAAAGACUCCAUCAACUUCCUGGAUCACAGUAAUGGAAAGAAACAUCAGCGAAACCUGGGUAUGUCUAUGCGUGUGGAAUGUCUCACUUUGGAUCAGGUGAAGAAACGUUUUGAAGUCAACAAGAAGGAGAUGGAAGAGAAGCAGAAGGAUUAUGACUUUGAGGAAAGGAUGAAGGAACUCAGAGAAGAGGAGGAAAAGGCCAAAGCCUACAAGAAAGAGAAACAGAAGGAGAAGAAAAGGAGGGCGGAGGAGGACUUGACAUUGGAGGAGGAAGGUGAGAUGACAGCUGUGAUGGGCUUCUCUGGCUUCGGUUCCACCAAGAAGAGUUACUGAGGCUUUCUAUGCUUGGCUUUUUGCCAGGCCUAACUUUGUGUGUGUGGGCGUCAUCUUUUGGGAGGUACUAGGGAAAGUCCUUAAGAGUGGCAGGGGGGAGGGCUAGAGGGUGGGUGUUUGUGGUUUCCCUCUACCUUGGGAGAGAGCACAGGAUGCAAAGGAAUGUGCUGUGGCAUGUUCCUUCAGCCUCAGUAUUUCACUGGAGACAGAGGACCUCUGAUCAUCUGAGUUCCCAAUAAAGAAAAACCACCUCUUCUGAGGCUGCUUUCC